rnacentral:misc_RNA from 1 species
AAAUGAAGUAAAUUCCAGUAAUGAACAUGUGGAAGUGAAGGCAUCGAAAAUACCGCGUGUAGUUGCGAAUGAUUCAGAAACUUCUGUAUGGCCAAAGGCGAAGGCGCUGAAUGAAGGGGAUAGUCUGUACUCGUUAGUAAGCAAUUUCUUUCUCCCUUCAAUGAAAAAGGUUGAUCCUAGUUUUUCGAUCUCCGCAAUUCAUCAGUGUACCCGUACUGGGCCACUGGAAAAAGCUCGUCUCGAUGUGUUUCUGAAGCAGAAUGAGAUUACAACGGCUGCUCGUGGUGUGUCUAAUAUG